UAAAAAAGAAUAAAUUAAAUUAGAAGCUCUCAUAAUAUGUAUAAUACAAAUUAUAACAAGUAUCAUUAGUUAAACAAAACAAUUAAAUACAUUUUUAAUGAUAUACAAAUGUUUUAUAAUAACUCAAAUCCCUGAACUGAUUAAAGUCAAAUGUUAAUGUUACGCUCCUGAAGUACUUCUACUCUAACCUCCCUUUGCAACUACUGUGCUGAGGUGGACAAAUAUCGACAGUCAAAUAGGAACAACGGAUACAAACAAUCUAGACCUGUGAAAGAAGCUGAAAAAAAACAAAACUGGAAAAAUCUUCAACAACCAAUAAUUUUCUACAUUUAGUACUGGCUAUUUAUUAAUACAAGAGGCCAUAAAAACAACAGAAGAAGAAAUGCCUCUUUGUCUUUCUCAAAAGCGUGGAUAAAUUGUUAGAAACUCCAAGACAAUAAGAAAAAAUAAAUUGGUAUAAAAAAACCGAGGUAGACCGCCAAAAAAUGAAAGGGAUCCAGAGUAUCGAAAUAAAGAAGAUAAAAUGAUAGAGAUUCAUCAUGAGAGAAAAACAAGAUGUUUUAAUAGUAAGGAAAUGAAGGAUAAUGAAGAAAAAACGAGGAGGACAAAGAAAGAAAAACAACAUUAGAAAAAGAAAAGAAAGAAGUAGAGGAAAGAAGAAAAAGAGAAGACAGAGAGAAAAAAUAAACAAAGUGUUUGAAUACCAAAGUAAAUUAUUUAAAGAAUAUGAUACAGGUCCAGCUACUGGCACAUUAACUCUAGGUAGAAUAUCUUCAUCGAUUGGUACUAUGUGGAAAAAAAAAAUUUUUGAAUAGUGUAAACGAGAAAUUUGGAAAAUCAAAAAAAUUUAUGAAAAAAACUCACUACAAGGUACAACUACUGGUACAUCAACUCGGCCUAUAAUAAUUUCAUCGACUGGUCCCUGGCGGAUUCGAUUUGCGUAAUGUCUACUUAACUAAGUGGACUUUAGGUAGACAUUAGGUAAACAUGUAAAAAAACGUAUAGAAAAGCUAUUAAUCGACUUAUUAUGAUAAAAAAAAGUUGAUAAAAGGGUAAAUGAAUGUUUAUAGAGUAAAUUCGUACAAAAUUUGUAAUUAAUAAAGCAUUAAAUAAUUAAUAAUGAAUGGAAAUGU